GAUGAACGCUAGCGGGAGGCCUAACACAUGCAAGCCGAGCGGUAUGGGCAGCUUGCUGCCCAGAGAGCGGCGUACGGGUGCGUAACACGUGUGCAACCUGCCCCUGUCCGGGGGAUGACCCUCCGAUAGGAGGAUUAAUACCUCAUGACACCCUGCCCGGCAGCGGGCGGGGUUGACAACCCGGGUGGACAGGGAUGGGCACGCGCGAGGGUAGAUAGGUGGCGGGGUAAGGGUCCACCAAGUCUGCGAUCUCUAGGGGUCCUGAGAGGGAGACCCGCCACGCGAGGACUGAGACACGGACCAGACUUCUACGGGAGGCAGCAGUGAGGAAUAUUGGACAAUGGGUGGAAGCCUGAUCCAGCCAUCCCGCGUGAAGGAUUAAGGUCCUAUGGAUUGUAAACUUCUUUUGUACGGGGAUAAACCUCCCUACGUGUAGGGAGCUGAAGGUACCGUACGAAUAAGCACCGGCUAACUACGUGCCAGCAGCCGCCGCAG
rnacentral:rRNA from 1 species